AAGAGUAGAAGUUGAAUUACAGAACCUGAUAGUAUUGUGGAGCUAGAGUAGUUGGUUUCAGCUAACUAUUCUUCUCAAGAUGAAGUUGUUAAAUUAAAUUGUAAACAUCAACACUUACAAUGGUUGAAUAGGGAGGAAAUCUUGGGUUGUCAAAAGUUCCGUGUGAAAUGGCUAACGGAGGGGGACUCUAAUAGGGCAUAUUCUCAUGCUAUGAUGCGAGUAAAAAAGAAUAAUAAGAGGGUUGAUCAAAUGAGCUUGGACAAUGGACAGGUAUUGGAAUCUUUGGAUGAAAUCCAUAGCGGCGCUGUUAAUUUUUUUUUUUCAGGAAAUGCUUACUACAGAUGUAGUGAACUUUGAUGAAGAAUCACUUUCUUUGCUUUUGCCAUCAGUUAAAGUUCAAGAAAAUGAAGCAUUAACUGCAAGGCUGUCAAUGGAAGAGGUAAAAGCUACUUAAUGGUCUAUUCUGACGGAUAGUAGCCCGGGUCCGGAUGGUUUCUCGGCUAGUUUCUUUAUUCUUGCUUGGGAUGUUGUGAAGCAUGAUAUUGUAGAGAUGGCCAUAGAAUUUAUUUAGGAGAAGCUAUUGUCGACAUUCUUUGGUACCACUAAUCUGGUGCUCAUUCAUAAGGUUGAUGAACCUAUGGGUUUUGGGCAAUUCCGGCCUAUUAGUCUUUAUUCGGUGGUUUAUAAAAUUAUGGCUAAGGUGAUGGUGUUUCGAUUGGUUUCGUUGUUAAAUCAUUUUUAUCUCUACUGAGCAAGUGGCGUUUAUUAGGGGGAGAAGUAUAUUUGAUAAUAUGGUUAUUGCUCAGGAGUUGGUCCAUGGUAUCAAUCAGAAGGUGAGAGGAGGAAAUGUUAUGCUAAAAAUCGAUAUAGCAAAGGCAUAGGAUAGAGUCAAUUGGCAAUUUUUAUUGGAGGUGUUGAGAAGAUUGGGUUUUUCAAAAAAAUGGAGGAAUAUGAUUUUCAAUUGUAUUUCCUCUCCGUUUUAUUCCUAAUGUUGAAUGGAUGUUCUCGGAGUUUUUUCAAGGCUUCUAGGGGUCUUCAUCAAGGUUUAAGGCCCCCCGUAAGCUUGACUUAAGAAGAGAAGGAGGAAGGUUUCGAGACAGUAUCCUCGAGAAGCAAGAGAGAGAGGAAGAGGAGAGAAACAGUCACGGGAGAAGGCAUGUAAGGGCAAAAAUCAAUGGCAAGGAAAGAGAGUGAAGGCAGGGACUUGCGCAUAAAAGGGGAGGUUGAUGCCAGACACCAGGACAUAGUUGGGAUAACAAUUCGAUUUUCGUUUUUACAUUUCAGAAACUUUCUAGAGUUUUUAAGGUUUUUCAUUUUGGCGAAAUACUAUGUUUAUGAUGGUGAAGUUAGGUUAAUUCUAAAGCUUGGGUUGCGGUAAAAGCUUUCAUUUGUUUUCUAUACUUGCAGGAUUUCUGUAGUUGUUGAUUUAUAUACUUCACUUUAUCGGAAAUCAAAUUCUGGAAAUGGGAGUUUGAUGGA